ensembl:lncRNA
AAGGACUGAAGCAGCAGGUGAGACAAACAGAGCGUCUCUCAGGUGUGUUUGAGGAGCAAAGGCCCAGGUGAGCUCUGUGGUCCCUGCUGGGUCCUAGUGCCCCUCCGUCUGCUACCUUCCCCUCCUCAUCAGUAACAGUCCUCACAGACCCCAGAUCAGACUGAGCUCCUCUUCUUCAUCAUUCAGACCAACAGCAGCUCCUCUCUGCCUGCUCACACAGGCGCCAUCUUGUUUCCCAGCUUUAAACAAUCACACGUUCACAACCAUCAAUGAUGUCAUUCAACCAAUCACAGCUCCACUUACUGAGCUCGUAGACAUGAACUUCCUCAGUGAGCAGCUCUCUUCUGUCCUCAGCAGGUCCGUGUAGAAAAGGAGCUCCGUGCUUCACUUCAGCUUCCAUCAGACGGAGUGAAGCGACGCAGCUUGUUGGAGCUUGUUGUCCUUCAUCAGAGAGGGUGUUUCCUCACGUCACCAUCAAAGUAUGCGGUCUGACUGGUUGACUGAGUGUCAGUGUGAGCCGUGUUCACAAAGGUCAAAGGUCCUCGACUAGUAGGGAACACGUGAUGAAGCAGAAACCUUUGUAACAAAUGUGGUGAAGAGUUUAUGUUGAAUAAAAACAUCCACUAAGACAACAGAGUCAGAGUGUUUUUAGUCUUCUCUCCACUUUGAGGAUCUGGUUGAACCUGUUUGGGCGGAACAACUUACUCGUAUCAGUCUGAAGCUGCGUGUUAAACCUUUUACCUUCAUGACAAACUGCCGCUUCCUCACAAAGUACACGCUGUUACAUUCAGGAUUCUACUGAGGCUUCGUGCUACUUCCUCAACCCCUCAUACCUGCUGUGCAAAGGAUUGUGGCUUGUGGAGCAUCAGCUGUAAGAUGCCUGGGUGAGCUCAUGACGCUAACGUGCUCAGCCAGACACGCCUGUUAGCAGAAGAACCGAGAGAAAUCGCUCACUUCCUGUUGGGAAGCUGUGGAUCCCAACUGGUCAGUGGAAGCGGCCACACUGGCAUCGAACCUGCCACAGCCAGGUGGUCGUGGCAACAACCGUGGACAGAGGAUCAGAGCCGCCCUCAGAUUACCUGAGUGCAAACCUGCCCCGCGCAGACCUUUAGACGUCUUCAGGACACAACUGCCAGCUGGUCAUAGACAAAGCGUCUCCCAGAAGAUCUCCUCGCAAGAGGAACCAGAAACGCUCAGCCGGCUCGGACGAGUGACGGUCGCCAUGGCGACGGUCCACAGAGGACGGAUGAAGACGGGACGAGUGGGGACUCGUUCCACUGAGAGACUUUAAACACACAGGGAUCAUGUGACUGG